rnacentral:rRNA from 1 species
AUUGAACGCUGGCGGCAUGCCUUACACAUGCAAGUCGAACGGUAACAGGUCUUCGGAUGCUGACGAGUGGCGAACGGGUGAGUAAUACAUCGGAACGUGCCCGAUCGUGGGGGAUAACGAAGCGAAAGCUUUGCUAAUACCGCAUACGAUCUACGGAUGAAAGCAGGGGACCGCAAUGCCUUGCGCGAACGGAGCGGCCGCUGCCAGAUUAGGUAGUUGGUGGGAUAAAAGCUUACCAAGCCGACGAUCUGUAGCUGGUCUGAGAGGACGACCAGCCACACUGGGACUGAGACACGGCCCAGACUCCUACGGGAGGCAGCAGUGGGGAAUUUUGGACAAAGGGCGAAAGCCUGAUCCAGUAAUGCCGCGUGCAGGAUGAAGGCCUUCGGGUUGUAAACUGCUUUUGUACGGAACGAAAAGACUCUGGUUAAUACCUGGGGUCCAUGACGGUACCGUAAGAAUAAGCACCGGCUAACUACGUG